UGGUGCAGAGAUGAAAGUUCUCCGGAUUUUCCCGGAAUUCCGGGUUUUUUAAAUUGUCCUCAAUUUUCUUCCGGGAAAUUAAAGUGCCGAAAAAUUAUUCCGGGAAUUCGUUGAAAACAUUGAAUGAACACGCGUUUGAGUUCGUUGUUUUGCUUGUAGCGACACCAUUUGAGCGAAGCGCGCCACAGCACUCGGUUGGUCUCUGCUGUACGUGCGUCAGCGCGAACAUUUACGCAUGCAAGCGUUGUUUUGGUUUCAACCAAUCAGCGCCGACGCAACCAACGUCAGAUAUCGAAGAAGCUCCGACUACAGCAAACGCAAGCAACGACAACCACCAUUCCCCUACAUUGGACUUUCGAAAUUUCGGCGACAGCGGAAGCCUCAAAGUCCAGAUAAAUAAUUGAAUAUUGAGUAUUUGAGCGCUAUAUGUAAAGUUAUUCGUGCAUAAUGUUCAAGCAGGUAGACAGACAAGCAGACUUACACGCGAUAGACGCGAGUGUGAGGAACACGUUCAAGUGGUCAUGGCUCGAAGAAAAGGACGUGAACGGAGAUUUUUUGUCUGACUACAUUCGGAAGGUUGACAAACCUGGAGAGCAAAAGGAAACGAGCAGAGUCUGACUGCAGUGGAUCUUCAAAGAAAAAUGCAAAAAAAUCAAAACAUGUUUAAAUGACAGAAGUGAAAGAAGUGAUUUAUUACUUUGGUAUUACUUUCCAUUAUUAUCAGGAGUAAAAAAUAAAAAGUGGAAAAUCUA